AGUGAACGCUGGCGGCGUGCUUAACACAUGCAAGUCGAACGAGAACGGGUUAUAGCUUGCUAUAAUUGUCAGCUAAGUGGCGCACGGGUGAGUAAUGUACAGGUAAUAUGCUUCUUACUAAGGGAUAACAACUGGAAACGUUUGCUAAUACCUUAUACUCCUUAUUAACAGAAGUUAAUAAGGGAAAGAUUUAUUGGUAAGAGAUUAGCCUGUAUUGUAUCAGUUAGUUGGUGGGGUAAUGGCUUACCAAGACUAUGACACAUAACUGGUUUGAGAGGAUGAUCAGUCACACUGGAACUGAGACACGGUCCAGACUCCUACGGGAGGCAGCAGUGGGGAAUAUUGCACAAUGGACGAAAGUCUGAUGCAGCAACGCCGCGUGGAGGAUGACACAUUUCGGUGCGUAAACUCCUUUUAUAUGAGAAGAUAAUGACGGUAUUAUAUGAAUAAGCACCGGCUAACUCCGUGCCAGCCACCGCAGUAA
rnacentral:rRNA from 1 species